UCGAGGGGCAGCGGGGAGCAAGCUUGCUUGCUCUGCCGGCGACCGGCGCACGGGUGAGUAACACGUAUGCAACCUGCCCUCCGCAGGGGGAUAACCCGGAGAAAUCCGGACUAAUACCGCGUGGUACACCUGUGGGGCAUCCCACGGGUGUUAAAAGGAAGUGAUUCCGGCGGAGGAUGGGCAUGCGGCGCAUUAGCUUGUUGGCGGGGUAACGGCCCACCAAGGCUACGAUGCGUAGGGGUUCUGAGAGGAAGGUCCCCCACACUGGUACUGAGACACGGACCAGACUCCUACGGGAGGCAGCAGUGAGGAAUAUUGGUCAAUGGGCGGGAGCCUGAACCAGCCAAGUCGCGUGAGGGAAGACGGUCCUAUGGAUUGUAAACCUCUUUAGGCGGGGAGCAAUGCCGGGCACGCGUGCCCGGAGGGAGAGUACCCGCAGAAUAAGCAUCGGCUAACUCCGUGCCAGCAGCCGCGGUAAUACGGAGGAUGCGAGCGUUAUCCGGAUUUAUUGGGUUUAAAGGGUGCGUAGGCGGAUUUUUAAGUCAGCGGUAAAAUGUCCGGGCUCAACCCGGGCCGGCCGUUGAAACUGGGGAUCUUGAGUGGGCGAGAAGUAUGCGGAAUGCGUGGUGUAGCGGUGAAAUGCAUAGAUAUCACGCAGAACUCCGAUUGCGAAGGCAGCAUACCGGCGCCCGACUGACGCUGAGGCACGAAAGCGUGGGGAUCGAACAGGAUUAGAUACCCUGGUAGUCCACGCAGUAAACGAUGAAUACUAACUGUCCGGGCAGAAGAUGCCUGGGUGGUACAGCG
rnacentral:rRNA from 1 species